AGAUUGACCACGCCAAGCUGUUGAUCGAUCAUUCUAUGGCAGAGGAACAGGUUCAAGUAAAUUGAUCAAACCCAGUUCAGCUUGCCUGAUCCUUAUCCAUCUGCGUUUGCAGAAAUGGGAGAUGGGAGAAGAAGAAAUCUGCACAAAAGGAGAAGAAGAAAGCUGAACAAGAGACAUUUCUAACAAAUACUUUGAUUCUUUGAAAAGCUCUACACUUUAAGUCCACUAAUUUAGUAUUUAUUUCAGGCUCACUCCAUGAAAAUGAAAAAUAAAAGAUCAAAUGCAAAAAGAAAAUCAUCCGAGAGAGACAGCCUACAACAAGAGGAGACGAAAUAUGAGGAAUCUUUUUUCUUGGACAUUAGUUUUUCUUUUUGAAACGCGGGCAAAAGCUUUGCCCUUUCUAUUAAUCAAGGAGAAGUUUUACAAGAAAAAAAAGGUGUUGGACUAUCGAUACUUUGGCUCAUGCGUUGGAAAAGGCAACGGGACAUGGGCUUCUCAAUAAGAUCCGAGGGCGGGGUACCAUCCUCCGCACAUCUCUUUAUGCGGAUGAUGCGGCGGUUUUGUAGCCCCUAUUAAAGAAGACAUUCAAAACCUCGCCCACAUCCUCAAUGACUUCGGAAAGGUUACCGGGCUAUGCACAAACUUCCUCAAGAGCUCCGUAGUGCCCAUAAGGUGUGCCAACAUUGACCUCGAUGACAGCCACAAUACCAUAUGGAGCAAUUCAUGUAUAUAUUUUUGUCUCUUUAUUUAUUUCUAUAGCAAGUACCUUCUAAACUUGCUUGGUGCAGGAACCGUUUGACUUUAGUGUUAGCAACAUAAAUCCAGCAAUGACAGCUGCAUCACCAUAUGGAGGUUCAUCGUCUGUCGUUAUGCCUCCAAUUCUAGGAAAAUAUACAAGCAUGUUGUAUCAAGUUCAGCAAAGCUCCGCUCCUGUGUCCAGUUCUCUGCAAUUACGCUUUGAUGGAACUGGAGAAGUCCAACAAUACGAUGGAUCAAAGUUAGAGAUGAAUUGUGUAAUUUAAGGAUGUUGGAUGCAGACCUUUGUUAUAAUCUUUUAUGCACUUGGAAAUUUUAAUGUAAUAGCUAAUAGGCACAGGGUAGUAGAAAGUAAACGAAUUUAUGUUUCGGAAUCUGGAUUCUCCACAGUGUAUUUGAACUGAUUAUUGAAUUAUAUGCGAUUGCAAUUUUCAGU